UACGGGGGGGGGCAAGCGUUGUUCGGAAUUACUGGGCGUAAAGGGCUCGUAGGCGGCCAACUAAGUCGGACGUGAAAUCCCUCGGCUUAACCGGGGAACGGCGUCCGAUACUGGAUGGCUUGAGUUUGGGAGAGGGAUGCGGAAUUCCAGGUGUAGCGGUGAAAUGCGUAGAUAUCAGGAGGAACACCUGUGGUGUAGACAGCUUACUGGACCAUAAACUGACGCUGAGGCACGAAAGCGUGGGUAGCAAACAGG
rnacentral:rRNA from 1 species